rnacentral:rRNA from 1 species
GACGAACGCUGGCGGCGUGCUUAACACAUGCAAGUCGAGCGGAAAGGCUCCUUCGGGGGUACUCGAGCGGCGAACGGGUGAGUAACACGUGAGUAAUCUGCCCUGUGCUCUGGGAUAGCCACCGGAAACGGUGAUUAAUACCGGAUACAACCACUAUAGGCACCUAUUGGUGGUGGAAAGUUUUUUCGGCACAGGAUGUGCUCGCGGCCUAUCAGCUUGUUGGUGAGGUAAUGGCUCACCAAGGCUUUGACGGGUAGCCGGCCUGAGAGGGUGACCGGUCACACUGGGACUGAGACACGGCCCAGACUCCUACGGGAGGCAGCAGUGGGGAAUAUUGGACAAUGGGCGGAAGCCUGAUCCAGCAACGCCGCGUGAGGGAUGACGGCCUUCGGGUUGUAAACCUCUUUCAGUACCGACGAAGCGCAAGUGACGGUAGGUACAGAAGAAGGACCGGCCAACUACGUGCCAGCCGCCGCGGUAACAC